CGGACCGGGCUAUAGAACUUGGGGGUAAUUUUGUAAUUGUGCAUUUAAAGGGAUGUGAUUGGUGUGAUGACAUCGAGGGGAUGGUUCUGAGAGGUUGACGGGACGUGUUGCAGAAAGAGUGAAGGAGUAGGCGUAGGUAUUCCAGAGAGGGAAAGAGACAGGGUUGAGCGGUGAUGCUGAAUUUGGGGUAUGGGAGAAAUGGGAAUUGCAGAGAGAGGGAGGGAGGGAUGGGGUUGGGUUUGAAAGAUUUUCUCCGCCUAGGAUUGUUCGGGUAAGAUUUCGACAGCGUUGUCCCUCUUCUGAGGUCCUCCCCAACGAAGCCGUCAAUCGCCUCCUCGCUUAAGGUGAAAUUGAAGGUCAGUAGAUCUCCUAAAUUGAUGAGGGGCUACAAUUCGUGCAAGGAAAAAGCCAGAGAUAUGCUACUAUUUUGGAAGAGAAUAGAUCAAGAGAUGGUAUCCUUCCCUUCUCCUCUGGAAAUGCAUUGAGUACAAGAAGUAUAUGCAUGAAAAUAUAAAAAUGCAUGUCUUUUUAUCCUAUUGAUCUUAAAUUUAGUCCUCUCUAAUGAUGUGUAGUAGGCCUCAAAUUCAUAUCUUGAAAUAUUCAUGUCUAAAGUUCUGUAGAUCUUCUGUUUUGGGGUUUAUUUUUUUUUUGGAAGUUUUAACGAAAAGCCCACGGCACUGUUCACUUUAACGAAAAGUCAAAUUUGGUAUUCACUUUUCAUUAGUUUUCCUUUUUUUUUUCCUAUUUUAGGCCAAAUAAAAAAAUUAGUAUGAAGUCUGGAUAGUCAUUUAGAAUUUUGGUAAUAUUGAGAGUCGACGAAAAACCAUAUUUUUACACUAUAAAGUCAAAUUUGGUAUUCACUUUUCAUUAGUUUUCCUUUUUUUUUUUUCCUAUUUUAGGCCAAAUAAAAAAAUUAGUAUGAAGUCUGGAUAGUCAUUUAGAAUUUUGGUGAUAUUGAGAGUUGAUGAAGUAGGUGAUGAAGGAGGAGGGGAUGGAGAAGGUGAAGGUACUGACGGAGAAGGUGAAGGUAGUGAUCGAGAAGGUUAUGAUAUUGGUGAAUUUAAGUCUGAAGGCACUAUUACUUUGCUAAUUUGCACCGUUGAUAUAUAAUAAUUUUCAUCAGAAGCAAUAUGUCGAACUACCGCUGCUUCGUCAAAAUGAGCAGUUGAAACAAUCGAGUUUAUUUAAUUAUGAUUUUUCUUAUUAAUUUGACCAUGAAAAUUGUCAAUUAUUUUCUAAAUAUUGGAUGAAUUGAGCAGUUUGUGUUA